ACUGCCCUUGGUGCCUUUAGUGACCUCUCUUGAUGAAGCAGGAGAUCAAGGUUUGUGGAGACAAAAAGUGGGGCCAGUCUCAAUCAGAGUCUGUUCACAUCAGACAGGGAAUAUCCUAAGAGGAUAGUCCAUGGAGCAAAAAGGCCAUUGUGGAGUGACAUCCAAAGAAAAUAAGGAGCAGGUUAUCUUUUUGUAUUCACUGGGCUCUAUAGGGCAAAACUAGACAUGUGCUAAAGCUUCUGCAUCAGCUUCAGAGAGGAAAAUAAAACUGAGGGCACCUUGGAAGUCUGCAACAGACUUGAUUGAUAAGAAACAGAAGAGCCCUUCUCCAAACAACAAGUGGAAGCGUCCCACCUGCAGGCACCUGUAUUUAGGGAUGGUCUCAGCUGUCCAGACAAUUGCUAUGAGGUCAAUGUGUCUUCAUGCGGUCACCCAAGUUUGGACUGCGUGGUGACACAUUUCCAGUGCAAAUGUUAGAGAGGCUGUCCAGGAGCGUCGCUCUGUAGGACUUACUGUCCACAGAGUGAGAAGGACUGAUGAACACAGACACUGUGUGGCACCUUAAGCUGCAGGGAGCACAAGGCAAUGAAGCUCAGGAUUUAGAGGAAGUCUGGAAAUAAAACUGCAGAGCUAUGGCUCUAGGCUUGCAGAGAACAGACCUGGUUAUUCAAGGAAUUUUUAGGCAAGGUCCUCUAUGAAGCAGCCAUGCAGCAGCAGGGUACCCAACAGAGCUGGAUGACUCCUACAAAGAGAACUCACUGAUGGAUGAUGGAUCAUGAACAAGACAACCUUUUAUGUGGGAAAAAAACAAGUUUCAGAACAAGACCAGUGUGCCUGAAAGGGUGCCUCUUGAUGAACUGAAAUACAAACAGUGAAGGUGUUUGAAACAGAAACAAAAACCCACCACAAAGGAAGAAUAUAAAAGGAUCGCUGAGGUACUUAGAGACAAAAUCAGGAAAGUCAAAACUCUAAAGCUAGAAAAAGCUUCAUUAUAUUGAGCAAGGAGUAAAAAAUGUAAAGGAGAUAUUUGGGGCUGCUGGUGUAUGAGAGACAACACAGUGUGGGAUAUAUAUUAAAAGCUGACAUACUUUUGGAAAGGCAGGGUUUUUUCCACCUUUCUUAUCACAGGCAGAACCUUCUCCCUGAUCUCUCCAAGUAUCAGAAGAGUUUGGGAAGGAGCUAGUGCUGUGUGAACAAGCUAGAAACCCCUUCAUCUGGACAUAUCCCUGGGACUGCUCCAAAGGUGCUGGAAAAGUUGGCUGUAGCUGUCUUCUUGGCUGCUGUGAUUCCAAGGCUGCUGUGUACUAUCUGUGAAAAAUCAUGAUGAAUGGAAAAAGCAAACAAUACAGUCGUGUUCAAGAAUGGCAAAAAAUGGGAUCUGGAGUGCUAUUAGGUGCUGGCUUUUACCUCAGUCCCUGCAAAGAUUGUAGUGCACGAUCCUCUUUUGGAACCCACUUCUAAACUCAAACAGGACAAGGAGGCAUCAUUAAGAUAAGGAGCUGCUGAUACAACAAAGGACAAAGUUUAUAUUUGUACCGACCUUGAGAAACGUGAGGAUUGGGCCAGCAUGAAUUUCAACACCAAGAACAAAUAUCUGCACGUGGAAGACUGGGAACAGGCUGGCUGAGUAGCAGCCUUGCUGCAGAAGACCUUGGGAAUACAAUGAAGGACAAGUACUGACUCAUGGACACCAGAGGAAUUUCUGAAAAACUACAGGAAUAAGAGACAAAAGUACACUGCUAUUAUGAUCAAGAAGUGGAUAAUGACCUAGGGCACACAUUAGGAAGGUGUAGUCAAACCAUUGGAGGAAUUUAUAACCCUGUGUAUGGCUCUGGUGAGACUACAUCUGGAAUGCAGCAACCUGUUUUAAGUACAGCUUUCAAGUGGAUGUUGAGAAAUGGCAACAGUCUGAAGGAGGCCUUCUUCAGUGGUCAGGGAUUUGGAACAGAAAGGCCUUUGCAAGGAGUUAGGAUAGCUGGUUCAUUCUACGUGGAAAAAGGGAGCUAAGGGAUGGUCUGACAGCAGCCUACAAAUACUCGAAAGGCAAUUGUAAGGGUGUGGAGCUUACAUCUUUACAGUAAUGGUAGAUGAUAUGAGACAACAGCACAGAGUUCAGUUUGAGAGGUUGGAGAAACAGGCCUAGAUCACCCAGAGAGCUCAUGGAGUUCCCAUUUAUGGGGGUUUUCAAGACUUGGCUAGACAAAGCUAUGCCAAGCCUAAUCUGAUACUGGCAAUUGUUUCUAUCUGAGUGGGAUUUUGAGACUUGCAGAGGUUUGUUUCAGAAACAUUUCUGCUUCUGUCAUCUGACGCUGUUAGGCAGGAAAAUCUCAUAUAAAUAGACUGUGCUGCUCACCAGAAAUCAGAUACUUUUCAACACUCAAGGUGGCACAGCUUAUCCACUGAUUAAGAGCCAAGAAGAAUGGAACACUAUUUUUUUUUUUUUAAUUUGAACUUUUUGUAAUGAUUCACCUGUGGAUUUUGACCUUCCUGUUUAAUCUCUGUAGUUCUCUUUAGCUAGAAACAAAAGCAUCUACCUUACAGUAGCUAAAAAUGAAGAGAAUUAUUGACUAUUCUUCUCAGAGAAGGCUGAAAAACAUUUUGUUACUAUUUCUUUACUUCUUUUACAGAGAUUAGUGUUCUAAAAUCAGAGAUGGUUAGGAGGGUAUAUUUGCUUGGAAAUUCUGAUGUAUUUUAAGAAGUUGGUAGUAAGGGCUAUUGGUGUGGCAACUGUUUUUCCAAUGAACCUCACUGGCGAUUUAGACAAAACUCUCUGUGAAAGAAUCCAGGCAUUUGAAACAAUGCAACAAAAUUCAUUAAUCUAUUUCUCAUACAGCUGCUAGUGCAGAUGAAAGUAUCACUAGAGAAAGAAGCCUAUAUCUUAAUUUGCAUUAGCUUAGUAAUGUUUUUGCUUAUAAUAUUAGUCUAUGUUCAGCAGAUCCAUCCUUUUCACCUCAAAUAUUGCUUGAGAAGGGAGUACUGCUUUAUGUGUCACAUUUAUAUAUGAACGUGUUCUCCUGGAUUAAGAAUUGCAAGAAAUGUUGGAAAAAAGGUUUCUUUUUGUUUUAAGUUAUGGAGCUCAGUACAAGUAGGGGAAAAGAGUUCACGCCUGGUAUUCCUUAUUUUGAAUGAGCAGGAAACAUGACCUGAGCUGCUUUGUUUAUAUGUGUUAGCCAAUAAUGCAGAUGCCGGAGGGGAACCUGGUGUUGUUGACAGCAUUAAACAGCUUGCUCUCUACAGUGAAAAGUGGGCAUUGAAUUUAUGUAUUGUGUUAUUCCUACAGAGGUAAAAAUAAUGCAUGGCUGCCUGCUUAGAACUCUGGCAUAAUAGAAUUUUAAUUGUUCUUGUUAUGAAAGUUUUAUUAAGUGCACAUAUUUAAGUGAAGUUUUUGCCAGCAUACAAAUAGCUCUUUCAAGCUGACCAAGUAGUUGGAUUUUUUUUUUUUAAAUAUUAUGGUCUAUGAUGUUUAUUGGAGUCAGAAAAAGGGGUUGAAGGUUUCCAAAACUCUUACUCCUCUUGUUCCAAACAGCAGGUUAAUUUUUAAAUGCUUAAACAGCAUUCACAUCUAGACCAAAAAUAAUGUGACAUUGCAAUAAAAGCAAAUAAGAAUUCCUUUGCAAAGAGAAAGCUCAACUAAAGAGCUGGAGGACUAUGCCAUUUGGAAUGCAGAUACAAAGUUAAUCAGUGAUCUGUUUAGAUUGGAAUAAUUUAGAGAAUGGGAAAUUUCAAAAUGUUUUCAAUUAGCAGAUAUUGUUGAAGAGGUGACCUGGCAAAGCAUAAAGCCUGUAUGUCAAUAGCCAGAAAAUCAUUACAUUUUGAUUCUUCUUGAGCCUUGAAAAGUCUUCCACACUAUAAACCAUAAAAAUUUCUUUUUCUUUUAAUACUCAAAUCUCCAGGCCUUUACUUCAAUAUUUCCCCAAUUAUAAUACCAUGUGUUCAGUUGUGUACAGUGUA